ACUCAUGCCAAUGUCUAAAGUUGCCUG
rnacentral:sRNA from 1 species